rnacentral:rRNA from 1 species
AGUGAACGCUGGCGGUAGGCCUAACACAUGCAAGCCGAACGGCAGCACAGGAGAGCUUGCUCUCUGGGUGGCGAGUGGCGGACGGGUGUGGAAUACAUCGGAAUCUACUCUGUCGUGGGGGAUAACGUAGGGAAACCUACGCUAAUACCGCAUACGACCUACGGGUGAAAGCAGGGGACCUUCGGGCCUUGCGCGAUUGAAUGAGCCGAUGUCGGAUUAGCUAGUUGGCGGGGUAAAGGCCCACCAAGGCGACGAUCCGUAGCUGGUCUGAUGGGAUGAUCAGCCACACUGGAACUGAGACGCGGUCCAGACUCCGACGGGAGGCAGCAGUGGGGAAUAUGGGACAAUGGGCGCAAGCCUGAUCCAGCCAUACCGUGUGGGUGAAGAAGGCCUUCGGGUUGUAAAGCCCUUUUGUUGGGAAAGAAAUCCAGCUGGCUAAUACCCGGUUGGGAUGACGGUACCCAAAGAAUAAGCACCGGCUAACUUCGUGCCAGCAGCCGCCGUAA